rnacentral:rRNA from 1 species
UACGUAGGGGGCAAGCGUUAUCCGGAUUUACUGGGUGUAAAGGGGGCGCAGACGGCGAUGCAAGCCAGGAGUGAAAGCCCGGGGCCCAACCCCGGGACUGCUCUUGGAACUGCGUGGCUGGAGUGCAGGAGGGGCAGGCGGAAUUCCUGGUGUAGCGGUGAAAUGCUUAGAUAUCACGAAGAACUCCGAUUGCGAAGGCAGCUCACUGGACUGCAACUGACACUGAGGCUCGAAAGUGUGGGUAUCAAACAGG